GGGUUGUGAGGUUAAGCGACUAAGCGUACACGGUGGAUGCCCUGGCAGUCAGAGGCGAUGAAGGACGUGCUAAUCUGCGAUAAGCGUCGGUAAGGUGAUAUGAACCGUUAUAACCGGCGAUUUCCGAAUGGGGAAACCCAGUGUGUUUCGACACACUAUCAUUAACUGAAUCCAUAGGUUAAUGAGGCGAACCGGGGGAACUGAAACAUCUAAGUACCCCGAGGAAAAGAAAUCAACCGAGAUUCCCCCAGUAGCGGCGAGCGAACGGGGAGCAGCCCAGAGCCUGAAUCAGUGUGUGUGUUAGUGGAAGCGUCUGGAAAGGCGCGCGAUACAGGGUGACAGCCCCGUACACAAAAAUGCACAUGCUGUGAGCUCGAUGAGUAGGGCGGGACACGUGGUAUCCUGUCUGAAUAUGGGGGGACCAUCCUCCAAGGCUAAAUACUCCUGACUGACCGAUAGUGAACCAGUACCGUGAGGGAAAGGCGAAAAGAACCCCGGCGAGGGGAGUGAAAAAGAACCUGAAACCGUGUACGUACAAGCAGUGGGAGCACGCUUAGGCGUGUGACUGCGUACCUUUUGUAUAAUGGGUCAGCGACUUAUAUUCUGUAGCAAGGUUAACCGAAUAGGGGAGCCGAAGGGAAACCGAGUCUUAACUGGGCGUUAAGUUGCAGGGUAUAGACCCGAAACCCGGUGAUCUAGCCAUGGGCAGGUUGAAGGUUGGGUAACACUAACUGGAGGACCGAACCGACUAAUGUUGAAAAAUUAGCGGAUGACUUGUGGCUGGGGGUGAAAGGCCAAUCAAACCGGGAGAUAGCUGGUUCUCCCCGAAAGCUAUUUAGGUAGCGCCUCGUGAAUUCAUCUCCGGGGGUAGAGCACUGUUUCGGCAAGGGGGUCAUCCCGACUUACCAACCCGAUGCAAACUGCGAAUACCGGAGAAUGUUAUCACGGGAGACACACGGCGGGUGCUAACGUCCGUCGUGAAGAGGGAAACAACCCAGACCGCCAGCUAAGGUCCCAAAGUCAUGGUUAAGUGGGAAACGAUGUGGGAAGGCCCAGACAGCCAGGAUGUUGGCUUAGAAGCAGCCAUCAUUUAAAGAAAGCGUAAUAGCUCACUGGUCGAGUCGGCCUGCGCGGAAGAUGUAACGGGGCUAAACCAUGCACCGAAGCUGCGGCAGCGACGCUUAUGCGUUGUUGGGUAGGGGAGCGUUCUGUAAGCCUGUGAAGGUGUGCUGUGAGGCAUGCUGGAGGUAUCAGAAGUGCGAAUGCUGACAUAAGUAACGAUAAAGCGGGUGAAAAGCCCGCUCGCCGGAAGGCCAAGGGUUCCUGUCCAACGUUAAUCGGGGCAGGGUGAGUCGACCCCUAAGGCGAGGCCGAAAGGCGUAGUCGAUGGGAAACAGGUUAAUAUUCCUGUACUUGGUGUUACUGCGAAGGGGGGACGGAGAAGGCUAUGUUGGCCGGGCGACGGUUGUCCCGGUUUAAGCGUGUAGGCUGGUUUUCCAGGCAAAUCCGGAAAAUCAAGGCUGAGGCGUGAUGACGAGGCACUACGGUGCUGAAGCAACAAAUGCCCUGCUUCCAGGAAAAGCCUCUAAGCAUCAGGUAACAUCAAAUCGUACCCCAAACCGACACAGGUGGUCAGGUAGAGAAUACCAAGGCGCUUGAGAGAACUCGGGUGAAGGAACUAGGCAAAAUGGUGCCGUAACUUCGGGAGAAGGCACGCUGAUAUGUAGGUGAAGUCCCUCGCGGAUGGAGCUGAAAUCAGUCGAAGAUACCAGCUGGCUGCAACUGUUUAUUAAAAACACAGCACUGUGCAAACACGAAAGUGGACGUAUACGGUGUGACGCCUGCCCGGUGCCGGAAGGUUAAUUGAUGGGGUCAGCGCAAGCGAAGCUCUUGAUCGAAGCCCCGGUAAACGGCGGCCGUAACUAUAACGGUCCUAAGGUAGCGAAAUUCCUUGUCGGGUAAGUUCCGACCUGCACGAAUGGCGUAAUGAUGGCCAGGCUGUCUCCACCCGAGACUCAGUGAAAUUGAACUCGCUGUGAAGAUGCAGUGUACCCGCGGCAAGACGGAAAGACCCCGUGAACCUUUACUAUAGCUUGACACUGAACAUUGAGCCUUGAUGUGUAGGAUAGGUGGGAGGCUUAGAAGUGUGGACGCCAGUCUGCAUGGAGCCGACCUUGAAAUACCACCCUUUAAUGUUUGAUGUUCUAACGUUGACCCGUAAUCCGGGUUGCGGACAGUGUCUGGUGGGUAGUUUGACUGGGGCGGUCUCCUCCUAAAGAGUAACGGAGGAGCACGAAGGUUGGCUAAUCCUGGUCGGACAUCAGGAGGUUAGUGCAAUGGCAUAAGCCAGCUUGACUGCGAGCGUGACGGCGCGAGCAGGUGCGAAAGCAGGUCAUAGUGAUCCGGUGGUUCUGAAUGGAAGGGCCAUCGCUCAACGGAUAAAAGGUACUCCGGGGAUAACAGGCUGAUACCGCCCAAGAGUUCAUAUCGACGGCGGUGUUUGGCACCUCGAUGUCGGCUCAUCACAUCCUGGGGCUGAAGUAGGUCCCAAGGGUAUGGCUGUUCGCCAUUUAAAGUGGUACGCGAGCUGGGUUUAGAACGUCGUGAGACAGUUCGGUCCCUAUCUGCCGUGGGCGCUGGAGAACUGAGGGGGGCUGCUCCUAGUACGAGAGGACCGGAGUGGACGCAUCACUGGUGUUCGGGUUGUCAUGCCAAUGGCACUGCCCGGUAGCUAAAUGCGGAAGAGAUAAGUGCUGAAAGCAUCUAAGCACGAAACUUGCCCCGAGAUGAGUUCUCCCUGACCCUUUAAGGGUCCUGAAGGAACGUUGAAGACGACGACGUUGAUAGGCCGGGUGUGUAAGCGCAGCGAUGCGUUGAGCUAACCGGUACUAAUGAACCGUGAGGCUUAACCUUACAACGCCGAAGCUGUU
rnacentral:rRNA from 1 species